rnacentral:miRNA from 1 species
CCAGAAGCCCAUCGAUUCCUU